rnacentral:rRNA from 1 species
ACCGGAGCUAAUACCGGAUAACAUUUGGAACCGCAUGGUUCUAAAGUGAAAGAUGGUUUUGCUAUCACUUAUAGAUGGACCCGCGCCGUAUUAGCUAGUUGGUAAGGUAACGGCUUACCAAGGCGACGAUACGUAGCCGACCUGAGAGGGUGAUCGGCCACACUGGAACUGAGACACGGUCCAG